UACGAAGGUGGCAAUCGUUGUUCGGAUUUACUGGGCGUACAGGGAGCGUAGGCGGUUCGGUAAGCCCUUUGUGAAAUCUCCAGGCUUAACCUGGAACAGUCGGAGGGGACCGCCGGGCUAGAGGGCGGGAGAGGAGCGCGGAAUUCCCGGUGUAGCGGUGAAAUGCGUAGAGAUCGGGAGGAAGGCCGGUGGCGAAGGCGGCGCUCUGGAACGUUUCUGACGCUGAGGCUCGAAAGCGUGGGGAGAAAACAGG
rnacentral:rRNA from 1 species